rnacentral:lncRNA from 1 species
GGUGUAUAAAAAAAGACAUAAAAUUAUGAUUAAUUUAAACGAGACACUGCUGUUAUACUGCAUGAAAAACGUGAAUAUAAAUUCAUAGUCAGCAGCAGAACUGAAGGGGUUAAAAAAACUGAACAACAAGCCCCAUGAACCUUCGCGCAUCCACGUGACUCAUGACUUCCGGCUGCGGCUGGCUGUGUGUUGUUAGCCGUAGCGAGUGUCGGUUGCCAGGGCAACGACUAUAAGGGAGGAGUGCCAUCACAGCGGUGCCAACAGUGGGAUGGAGUGGCAUUCACUGCUUCACUUCUCUUAAGCUCAUCUACAGGACAGAUAUGAUCAGGUGAUCUGAGAGGAGAGACGUCCGUCUGUCAGUACUGU